CUCUGUGACUCCUACGGGAGGCAGCAGUGGGAAUAUUGCACAAUGGGCGCAAGCCUGAUGCAGCCAUGCCGCGUGUAUGAAGAAGGCCUUCGGGUUGUAAAGUACUUUCAGCAGUGAGGAAGGCGGAGUCGUUAAUAGCGGCCUCGUUUGACGUUAGCUGCAGAAGAAGCACCGGCUAACUCCGUGCCAGCAGCCGCGGUAAUACGGAGGGUGCGAGCGUUAAUCGGAAUUACUGGGCGUAAAGCGCAUGCAGGUGGUUCGUUUAAGUCAGAUGUGAAAGCCCGGGGCUCAACCUCGGAAUUGCAUUUGAAACUGGCAGACUAGAGUACUGUAGAGGGGGUAGAAUUUCAGGUGUAGCGGUGAAAUGCGUAGAGAUCUGAAGGAAUACCGGUGGCGAAGGCGGCCCCCUGGACAGAUACUGACACUCAGAUGCGAAAGCGUGGGGAGCAAACAGGAUUAGAUACCCUGGUAG
rnacentral:rRNA from 1 species